GAGUUUGAUCAUGGCUCAGAUUGAACGCUGGCGGCAUGCCUUACACAUGCAAGUCGAACGGCAGCACGGGAGCUUGCUCCUGGUGGCGAGUGGCGAACGGGUGAGUAAUGCAUCGGAACGUAUCCUGGAGUGGGGGAUAACGUAGCGAAAGUUACGCUAAUACCGCGUAUUCUGUGAGCAGGAAAGCGGGGGACCUUCGGGCCUCGCGCUCCUGGAGCGGCCGAUGUCGGAUUAGCUAGUUGGUGAGGUAAAGGCGUCACCAAGGCGACGAUCCGUAGCAGGUCUGAGAGGAUGAUCUGCCACACUGGAACUGAGACACGGUCCAGACUCCUACGGGAGGCAGCAGUGGGG
rnacentral:rRNA from 1 species